rnacentral:rRNA from 1 species
UCCGUAGGUGGAUAAUUAAGUCAGAGGUGAAAUCCUGCAGCUCAACUGUAGAAUUGCCUUUGAUACUGGUUAUCUUGAAUUAUUGUGAAGUAGUUAGAAUAUGUAGUGUAGCGGUGAAAUGCAUAGAUAUUACAUAGAAUACCGAUUGCGAAGGCAGAUCACUAAUAAUGUACUGACACUGAGGGACGAAAGCGUGGGGAGCGAACAGGAUUAGAUACCCUGGUAGUCC